ACCCGCUGAACUUAAGCAUAUCAAUAAGCGGAGGAAAAGAAACCAACAGGGAUUGCCCUAGUAACGGCGAGUGAAGCGGCAACAGCUCAAAUUUGAAAUCUGGCUCUUUUAGAGUCCGAGUUGUAAUUUGCAGAGGGCGCUUUGGCUUUGGCAGCGGUCCAAGUUCCUUGGAACAGGACGUCACAGAGGGUGAGAAUCCCGUACGUGGUCGCUGGCUAUUGCCGUGUAAAGCCCCUUCGACGAGUCGAGUUGUUUGGGAAUGCAGCUCUAAAUGGGAGGUACAUUUCUUCUAAAGCUAAAUAUUGGCCAGAGACCGAUAGCGCACAAGUAGAGUGAUCGAAAGAUGAGAAGCACUUUGGAAAGAGAGUCAAACAGCACGUGAAAUUGUUGAAAGGGAAGCGCUUGCAGCCAGACUUGCUUACAGUUGCUCAUCCGGGCUUUUGCCCGGUGCACUCUUCUGUAGGCAGGCCAGCAUCAGUUUGGGCGGUAGGAUAAAGGUCUCUGUCACGUACCUCUCUUCGGGGAGGCCUUAUAGGGGAGACGACAUACUACCAGCCUGGACUGAGGUCCGCGCAUCUGCUAGGAUGCUGGCGUAAUGGCUGU
rnacentral:rRNA from 1 species